rnacentral:tRNA from 1 species
GGCCAAUUGGUGUCCUACACUACUUUGUGAAGAGAGCCUCGGUUAACAUACUUCUCAAUGUGAAGACAGGUGCGAGAAGGGAGGCGGGUUCGAAUCCCGUAUUGGCCACCA